UUUCCAUUGUCACAUCGACGGUGGAAGACAGGUGAGCAAUGGUUUCAUAGGAUUUCUACAUGUUCUAGUGGUUACAAUAAUGUAAAAGAAAGUCAUAUAUAUUUUACUCUUCAUUGGAUCACAUAAGUUCAUAGGAAUUUGGUCGAAGUUCUAUCGCCAUUUCAUUCCGAUCUUUUUUUAUAUAUAUUUCAGUGACGUUUUGUGGUUGCUUAACCAUUGCAAAUUUAUUACAAACGUAGACGCGGCACCAAAAAGUUCCAUCGGAUAUGGAUUUUGCGUUUUCACGUUAGAGGCACUGACUGUCGUGGAGAAAAACAUCCAAGAUACCUUUUCAGAAAACGGGAACCACCCUUUGGUAAAGCUCGUAGCUAACGAAAAGCUGAAAUCAGCUUACAAGAAGAACAAAAGACUAGUUUCAUCGUAUACAGAAUCCGUCCUCGUCAAGGGAGCGUGUUCAGUGAUCAUGCAAGAGGUAAAGAGUAUGGUCUUUGAUUAUUUUUUGUAACAAGUAUUAUCUUACAAUAAUAUAUACGUUUUCAAAACAUGAUUUUAUUUAUAAGAGUGCGUAACAUUUUGUUCAUUUUGUGCACAACCACAUUUUAUUCACGAAAGUAUAAACUUGCGCUGUGUUUGUGUAAAUUUAAUUCGUCAAAUGUAAAUAUUUUAAAUGUUAAUGGGAAGAACAAAUUCUUAAAAUGUACAAUAUCUCCAUAUAACAUGCCUGUUAGACUGUCAAUAGACAUAGAAUCCCGUUUUAUUUUUUACGCGGUUUUUUUAAAGGCGAGUCCGAACAAUAUAAAUAGUAAAGGCAAAAAUUUAAAGUUAUAUAAUUAAUUGAAAAAAGUAUAUCGGUUUCGAAUGUCAUAAAUAAUUAUUUUCUUCUUUGGUGUCAAAGUAAACUACAUAUUCGUACAGAAAAUAUUUCACAGUACAUGUAUGUAAAAUUUGUUAAAUAUUCUCAUAAUCGUUUGUUUCAUAUCAUAAAACUGCACGCGACUGGAUGUAGUUAUAAAGAGGCCACAGAGGCUCUGCAACGAACGGUGGCCAAAAGUAUUUUCACAGCAUAUAGCCUGGCAACAACUCACCGCUCGAGCAUAAAAGAAUAUUGAUCAAGCGCCCUAGCAGAUAGACGUAAAGCCUGGUGAACACAAAGACGCUAACAUCCUGCAGAAAAGUUCAACAUGGCUGACAACACCGUACGGUCGGAAGAUGUGUAAGGACAAAAGUGGGAUCGUUGCAUUACAGACACCGGUUUACUGUUAACUGUUGAGUUAUCGAUCCGGACAGAACUUAAGUGUGCACCACUGCAGUAUGAUGACAUUUAAGUUUUAUAGACUUUCAUGCAAUAGUUACUGUCACACAGCUCCGGACAUUGAAAGUGGAAGGACGGAGAACCACACAGAAACAAUAUCGGCGAAUGAUGAUGUAUAUUUGUUUUAAGUUUCGUGAAAUAGGUACUGUGAAAUAGCUCCGGACGUACAACCUUCCUGAAUUUCAAUCUAUUAAGGGGCAAUAAAUUAAUAACGCGUGCACCGCAGUAUGAUUGAACACAUUCAUAUUAAGUUUAAUGAAAUUUAAUAAAUAAUUAUUGAUAAACACCUCCGGACAUCGCCAAAAUAAUAUUCCUUCACUGUCUUAGAGGGGUAAAAAGCCAUCAUAAUGGAGGUGUCAUUUUGUCUACUUACAAGAGUUGGCGCAUUCGGAUUAAAUGCGUAUUCUACAUGCAAUAAUAAAUGCAUGCAAAAAUAAAUAUCUUUCUUGCAACAAGCGUUAAUCUACUGCAAAUCUUAGCAAAACAUUUGCAAACGUAUGUGCGUGUGUAUAGUGACGCAAUCAUACGUUUUUCCAUAGGUAAUUUGUUUCUUAAUGACAAUAUGUUUAUAUUUGAUUAAUAAAAUACCUGGAUAUUAUAUGAAUAUGUCAGUUUCUGUUCCGAAUCGCCCCCGUGCUUCUUUCUAGCAGCACCAUGUACCUUUUGGGAUCCAAGAUCUUACCCUGUAUUAUACAUACGUACGUGGUCCUUUAUUCAUGGCAGGUGAUGAAUUGCCAAAACAGAACGGCACAAAACGAAACAAAAUACAAAAAGAGUACAAUAAAGCCGGUGUCACCGCUUUGGAACGGUCAAUGUUAACUACUGGGCAGGUUAAACAGGUUAAUGAGCGCUCAAACUCAUACGUGAAUCAGGAAUAUUCAUUAUACAUACAAGUGUAAAAUAUAGUACUCUUACAUUGUAUUAUAUUUAUGGCUAUAUGGUUGAUAAGAGCGCCUAUGUCUUUUGACUAAAUCU